rnacentral:rRNA from 1 species
AUUGAACGCUGGCGGCAUGCCUUACACAUGCAAGUCGAACGGUAACAGGCCGCAAGGUGCUGACGAGUGGCGAACGGGUGAGUAAUGCAUCGGAACGUGCCCAGUUGUGGGGGAUAACUGCUCGAAAGAGCAGCUAAUACCGCAUACGACCUGAGGGUGAAAGCGGGGGAUCGCAAGACCUCGCGCAAUUGGAGCGGCCGAUGUCAGAUUAGGUAGUUGGUGGGGUAAAGGCCUACCAAGCCGACGAUCUGUAGUUGGUCUGAGAGGACGACCAGCCACACUGGGACUGAGACACGGCCCAGACUCCUACGGGAGGCAGCAGUGGGGAAUUUUGGACAAUGGGCGCAAGCCUGAUCCAGCAAUGCCGCGUGCAGGAAGAAGGCCUUCGGGUUGUAAACUGCUUUUGUCAGGGAAGAAAUCCUCUGGGUUAAUGCCCCGGGGGGAUGACGGUACCUGAAGAAUAAGCACCGGCUAACUACGUGCCAGCAGCCGCCGUAA